UGGAAAUAGAUUAGAAUAAUUCUUUUUUUGUAAAUCUUACAUUACACAAAAGAAAAAAAAAUUAUGUCACUAAAAUGACGUCUCCCUCUUGCAUGGCCUUACAUUAAGUAUACAUAAAUAAGAUGCCCUUAACCCCCUGCUAACAACAUUAUAACACUAAAAAGUGUAGUCUUUGUCACCCAAUUUAGAAAGCUUUAUAAUUAGAUUACAACUUCAUUUUAUGUUGUUCAUGAUUUGGUUGAAGUUCCAAAAAAACUUUCCUUCCCACAAAUGUCUAACAGGUCUUGUCUUUCCUUUUCAAUUUGUUUGGGUAGAUCUCUAGUUGACUGAUGAAAAUGAGUCUCCUAGAGAUUGGUUGUUUCUACCUCUCCUCCUUGUGAUGGAUAUGCUUUGUAUUUGCAGGAAGGAAACUUCCUUCCCUCGAUUGUAAUAUUGAUACAUUAUAUGUCCUAUAUCCCUGCAGAAAAAUGAUCAAGGGGAAAAAAAUUUAGAAGUACUUGUUUCUCUAAUGUACACAUUCUUACUUAAUCAAUGUCAUUCUAUGCACUAAGCUAACCUCUCCUUUCCUUUUAAAUUAGACUAAGUUGAGUCUAUAUUGAGUUAAAAUUCAGAAAAUUAGCCCAAAUGUACUAAUGUAAGCGAAUGGUUUUUACUCAAGCUUUAAUGCUCCACAAUUUCCUGAAAUCACCAUUUUACCCCUUUUUUAUGCAUGAAAUGGUCCCUACCUUUGCCAAAAUUACCCAUUUAGGCACCAGUCUGAUUAGGAGAAACAAACUUUUUUUGUUCUUAUGUGUUAUCAAGGUCCAUGUUUUUAAUUGUAUAUAUCACAUUCUAUCUGGUGAAUAAACCUUAGUGAUCUUUUAGAUCACUCUUUAGACAAUUCUUUGUCUUAGCCAUGAGUAAAUGUUUGUUAAAAAAUACUUGGCGGGUUAGUUAGAAAUGACUUUGAUAUAAAAAGAAUAUAUACUCAAAUUUAUAACUAAAAGUGACUACAUUCUGAAAUAAUACUUGACGUGUUAGUUAAGAAUGACUAAGAUCUAAAAAAAUACUUGUGUUGCAAUUUAGACGGUUAGUCUUCAUAAUGGAACUCAAUAAAUUGGUUUAAAAUUAGAUUAUAGUUUGCGCUAUCAAAAGAACCAACAUACAAACUUGAAAGUACAUUCUUCUUUUUUUUUAUCCUUUUAAAAUUUUAUGCUAUUUAUUAUAUAAGUUAAUUAUUGUCUGUAUCAUCAAACAUUAUUUAUAAAAUCAGAAAAUACAAUUCAACCUCAUUCCACUUGUGUUUUGUUAUGUUUUCACAAUAUUUGAACUAAUAUUCAAUAAAAAAAUUAUUUUAAUAAUGAAUAAUAUUUAAUAAUCAAAAAAUUAUUUUAGUUAUAAUAUGUUAAGUUUUUUUAAAUUAUAAUCACCUAAUAUUUUUCUUAAUUUACAUUAAUUGUUUAGAAUUAUUCUUGUUAGAUUAUUUUUUGUCAACUUUUCCGUCCAUGUUAAUUGCAAAAUUUCAUGUUACUUGAUACUUAAUGUAAUGACAUAGAUAAAAUACAAAUAAUGUGUUUUUUUAUCAAAGACAAAAGUUAUUAAGAACUGAAAUCCUAAACUAUAUUUAGAGAUCAAAUAUAUUUAAAUCUUUCCAGUAAAAUAUUAGAAUUUUUGCUGUCUAAUAUAUUUUUCAGGUUUUAAAAAUGGGGAAGAACACAAAUCCUACUAUAUUUUAGGUAUACAUGGUUUUGAAGUUAGAUAUUAACAAUGAUAUAGGUAUGUAUAUUGUAUAAAAGUUCUUAUUCAUGGGGAAUGACCCUUGACCCAUGAGAUAGGUGUGUGUUAAUUCUCUACAUGACGUUAUUACAAUACCAUAAAUAAGUUUAUAAAUCCUUUCAAAUCAUGUGACAUAUAUAUGUAGUGUGACUAUAAAAAUCCUUCAAAUGGUGAAAUUUUACAUUAACUUUAUGAAAAUAAGUAAUUUUUUUAAAAAAAAAUAUGUAUGUGGAUAAGUCGUAUUUGAAGUAUGAUUUUAAAAAUUAAAUAAGUCAAAUAAGUAAAAAUUGAAUUUUAUUUUUAAUAGGUAAUUUUUUGAUUAAGUGCAUGAUUUCCAUUUUUUUUAAAUUUGGGAUAAAAAAAAUAUAAGCAUUGUUUUUUGUAAUAUAAAAACAAUGUUUUUAUGCAAGAUUCUCUUUUUUAAUUUUGAUCACAAUAUUGUUUUCAAUAUGAUACUCUCUUAGAGGAAGAUGCUAAUAGAAAUUUGUUGAUUGAACUAGAUAGUAAAAAAAAUCACAAAUUAGAUAAUUAAUUGUUAACUUUUUCCAUAGUUUCCUUACAACGCAAUUCAAUCAAUAUAUUUUUACUGAUCUUAUCAUGAAGAAAACAAUAUUAUAAAUAAAACUAAAAGAAAAGUAAAUUCUGCACAAAAACAAAAUUUUCAUCAAAUAAAAAGUUAAUGUUUGUAUAUUUCACCACAAAUUUAAAAUAAAAUAAAAUAAAAACUUCACAACUUCAAUUAAAAAAAUUUAAUGUAACGAAAAAUCGUAUUUUGGAACAGAAUUUGUUAUUUUGGAACAGAAUUUGUUACUAUUUGCUAGCCAUGUGAAGAUAUUUUUAAUUAAAUGUUUGCAUAUUAUCGUCAACAAUUUUGUGAAAUGGUGAAAUUUUACAUUAACUUUCCAAAUAAUUAUAUAAUUUUCUUUGAAAGGAUGAAACGAUGGAAGAAGAUGGUGAUUCCCAUGUAAAGAUAUUUGAAGAAGAAAUAAGAUCAUCCCUUCCUCCCAACCUAAUUCCUCCCACUUAGUCUCAAACAUAAAAUUUUUUGCAUUCUUUUUCUUUAUUUUUAUCAUAAAAAAUAAUUAAAUUUCGAACUGUACUAUUAAACUUUAUACAUUAUAAUUAAUAAUAGAUGCCCAAUUCCCAAACAACUAACAAUGAACUUCUUUAAAAUAGUUGAUACAAUAAAAUUAAAACUUUAAAUUUUAAAUAAAUUUAAUUUAUUUCGUUCGAAUUCUUAGAUCGAUAAUACGAAUCUAAACCAUUAUUAUAUCCUCCCACUUAGUCUCAAACAUAAAAUUUUUUGCAUUCUUUUUCUUUAUUUUUAUCAUAAAAAAUAAUUAAAUUUCGAACUGUACUAUUAAACUUUAUACAUUAUAAUUAAUAAUAGAUGCCCAAUUCCCAAACAACUAACAAUGAACUUGUUUAAAAUAGUUGAUACAAUAAAAUUAAAACUUUAAAUUUUAAAUAAAUUUAAUUUAUUUCGUUCGAAUUCUUAGAUCGAUAAUACGAAUCUAAACCAUUAUUAUAAAUAGUUCAUCGUUAAUAUAAAAAUGUUGAGAAGUAGAAUAAUAAAAUUGAAAAUUAUAGCAAAAGAGGAAAAAAAAUGUACUGCAAAUUAAUCUGGUGCAUUUUUUUGUAAAAAAACUUAAAAUUAAAGGAUUGAAAUGUUCACCUCUUAUUGGGAUAAAGUCUUUGAAUCCUUUUUAUUCACUCAUGAAAUCUCAAUCUCAAUCAAAUCAAGGAAGUACCAAGUAAUUUGAGGAAAAUGAUUUCUUAAUUAUUUGAUACUUCAUUGACUGAAUAAGAUAGAUCUUCAGACAAAAUCUAAGAAACAAAAGAAUUGUUAAACCUAUGAGAAAAAUCUAUGGAAAAGACUACAAUUCAUAACCUCACUUUGACUGUAUUAUUAUGAUUUGUUGAGCUAUAGACACAUAUAUAUAGGUCGUAAGUCUAAUUUAGGUGGUGAUUUGAGUCAUGAGAUUUUCUUAGUUUAGAAAAAAAAAAUGCAAGGUGACUUGGAUAUUUCAAUCCACCUGAGUGUAGACCUGUCUUAGAUAUACCUUUCUUAGAUAGACCUGUCUUAGAUAAAUCUGCCUUAGAUAGACCUGUCUCAAAUACACCUCUCUCAGAUACACCUCUCUCAGAUACACCUCUCUCAGAUACACCUAUCUCAGAUACACCUAUCUCAGAUACACAUGUCUCAGAUAGAUCUGUCUCAGAUAGAUCUGUCUCAGAUAGACUUGUCUCAGAUAGACUUGCCUCAGAUACACCUAUCUCAGAUACACCUCUGUCAGAUACACCUGUCUCAAAUAGACUUGUCUCAUAUACACCUUUCUUACAUAAAUCUGUCUUAUGUAGACUUAUCUUACAUAAUCUUGUCUUACAUAGACUUGUUUUACACCUGUCUAAGAUACACCUCUGUCAGACACAACUGUCUCAGAUAGACCUGUCUCAAAUACAUAUGUCUUAGAUACACCUAUCUCAGAUACACCUCUGUCAGAUACACCUGUCUCAGAUAGACCAAUCUCAGAUAAACCUGUCUCAUAUACACCUGUCUCAGAUACACCUUUCUUACAUAAAUUUGUCUUAUGUAGACCUAUCUUACAUAAACUUGUCUUAAAUAGACUUGUUUUAUAUAGACCUAUGUUAUGUAGUUUAUAUAAUUUUUCUUUCAAAUCUUUAUUGUUUUAUAAAAUUGUUUGUAUGUUAAAUAUAAUUGAUUAUUGAUUUAUUCGUAAGUAAAUUUAAUAUAUAAUUUUAUUAAUUAUAAAUUAUUUAUAUUUAUUUACACAUAUAUCGAAAAAAAGUUGGAUUUUAUUUGAUGUUCCUUUAACUCUUUUUUUUCACAAUAUAUUUAUUAUUUGCUUACAAUAAAUAAUAAAUACUCAAUAUUUUAAGUAUUUAUAAUAAAAAAGUAUUUAAUGUAUUUAUUUAUGUUUUUUUAAAGAUUAAAUUUAUAUAUUUAUUAGAAUAAUGUAUGUAUUUAUAAUAUGAAGCUAUUCAGCGCAUAUAUUUAUUAAAAACAUGAAUGUAUCCGUUUUUUUUUUAUAAAUGAUACAUUAAUAAAUUGAAAUUCGGUGUAUAGUAUAUUAAUUAUUUAUUAUAUUUAAUAAGUAUAGUAAAUGAUAUUAUUAAUGUUUAUGUAAAUACUAAUAAAAAAAUAAAUUUAUUAAAUAUUAAUGUUUAAUAUGUGUUUAUAAUAUGAAAGUAUUUAAUUAUAUAUUUAUAAUUUUUACAUGUCUUUAUUAGAAUUUUGUGUGUAUUUACUCUUUAAUGAAAAUAUUUAUUAAAAACAUGUAUCUAUCUGGUUUUAAUGAAUGAUAAAUUUAAUUUAUACAUGAAAGUAUUUAUAUAUUUAUUAAUGUUAAAAAUAAAUAUUAAAUGUUUAAUUGUUUUUUUUAUAUUGAAGGUAUAUAUAUAUAUAUAACACACUCAAAGUGCGUUGUAGAAUUGAGAUUUGUCAUUUUUUUUAUAUGUGAAGAUCUAUCUUAAUCAGUCAUUGAAGUAUCAAGUAAAUUUACAAUAUAAUUUAUUUUUUAAAAUUACUUGGUACUUCCUUGAUUUGAUUGAGAUUUGAUAUUUCACUUAGUAGGAAGCAUUCAAAGUGUUCAUUGAGAAGAUUGAGGAGAAUUUUAAUAUGAUGGUGAUAUUUAAUAAUCCAAUUUUUUGUUUUUGUUAUUGUUCACACAUAUUUUUGGGUACACCUUUCUCUCUUGUUGCUGGACAUUUUAAGUUUUAUCUUGGUUAUUUGAUUGGUUUUUUAUCUUUAAUGAACUGAUAAUGUUUUAUGCUUAUAUCAAUCUAAUCAAUUAAAAAACCUCAAUAGAACCAAUUAAGUUAGUUUCACUUUUUUUAAUUUAAUCACUUAACUCAAUAAAAUCAAUAUUAAUUGAUUUUGGUAUUAGAUUUUCAAUUCAAAAAAUUAUGAAUUCAACUCAAAUUAACUAAUAGUGUGAUUUUUUGUAUUGAUUAUCAUCCUUUCUACACAAAACUUCACUUGGUAUUGACCCUAGCUUCUCGUAGACAACACUCUUCAAUCAAAUAUUUUUUAUACAAAACAUUUCUCUAUCAAAUUUAAAUUACCUAGUUAUCAUGCAUAAUAUGCAAAAUGCAUCUAAAUUUAUCAUGUCAAGAUAUUGUCCACUUCAUUCUUUUCCAUUUUAUUAUUGUGGAGUAAAACAGUCUAAAAAUUUGAUCAUUAAAGUAUUACCAACCAUUGUAAUGAUGAUUAACAAAACAUAUUACCAAGGUGAAAUUUUAGUCUAACUCAAUUUUAUAAAACUAAUUUGGUAAGGUAAAUUUUGUAUCCAUCUACAUAUUGUUAUUUGACCAUAUUUCUAGAAGAUGUGAGAUUUUUAACAUGCUCCCUCCUACCGAGGACAUGGAGUAUAUGGAACCUGAUAGCAAGUGACACAAUUGGUCUAAUAAAUCUCAUUAGGAUAGACACUGAUAUGAUAUAAUAUCAUAUCAAGAAAUUAAAAUUUAAAUCUAACUUAACUUUACAAAAGUGCUUAUAAAGUGAGGUUUAUGUGUGUGUGUCUUAUUUGGUCAUAUAUGUAGAAGAUAUGACAUCUCCAAAAGACGUAAAUGUGUUAAUAGAUCCUUGACUGCUUGAUUAUGGACCUAUAAAAAACAUUCAUAUUCACUUCCUAUCAUACCAUCCUAUUUUUGUUUUUUGUUUAUUCAACAAUCAAACUCCAUGUUAUAAACUUGGUACAAUGAAUACCAACCCUUUCACUUUAGAAAAAAAGAAAGGAACCAGUAAAACUUAAUAAUUUGCAACACCUUAUAACACAAGCUUUAGAGAGAUAUGAAUAUGCCCUUAGUUUCUAUCUCAAGUGUUAAAUUUCAUAUGUUGUUGCACAAUACCUCAAGAACAACACAAACAUAUAAAUCAAACCCCAACACCUUAUAUUCUUUGAAGGCAUGUUUCAUGAUUGUUAUCCCAAAGUGAAAAUGAAGGACAAUCUUUAUUAUUUCACGUAAUACUUCACGCCUACAUAGAUAUUUAAUGUCUUGAAUAACCAUUAAAAUUUUAUCUUUGAACACACAUACUCUUCUCAUUCUAUAACUGCUCCAAAUAAUAGCAAACACAAUCUUUUUAAAUCCAAUUCUUAACUUUACAAAUCCCAUCAUUAUGAUGCACAAAAUGUUGUAUGACAUAACAAUGUAGAACCUUACUCAAGUCCACCCAUCUUUAAUUGAUAUUCCACACUUCAUAGGAUUUGUUGCAAGUUUAGAAAAUAUGUUUAGUUGAUUCAUCACUGGAGUUUCAAAAAGGGCACAAUAGCUAGUUAGGAAGGAGUAAUAUAUUGGGCUUUUUUAAAUUAUCCUUAGUUAGGAGUCUAUUCCAAAAUAGCUUCAAAGAGAGGCACAAAGCCUUUGGAGGGACUUUGUAGGUCAAGAGCUUCUUCAAUGUACCAUGUGGUUGGAAUUCACCAAUUUUUAUGGCUUGAAUGAUAUUGUAUGCAGACUUGGGCAAAUAGAGCUUUCUCCCCCAUAACCACAACUUCUUUUUAUUCCUAUGUAGAGAUGUAUUGACAAUUCUCAAUAUGAGGUCUUCCAACACUACCUUCUUCCAUUUAAAGAUAUCCAUUCUCCAUGUUAGCCUCCACUCUCAUAUCUCAUUUGACUAAAACUCAUAUUAUUGAUGUAACUGCUGCUUUGAAAUUAAGAACAACUAUAAAAUCUCUUUGUCUAUGUUUUUUUUUUCUCUUAACCAUUUUUCUUCUAAAAUUUGUUGCCUUUGUUAAAUUAUUUGUUAUUAUUUUAUUCACUAUAUACAUUUCCCAAUCUCUCGAUAAUAUGAAACUAUUUCUUUGUAUUUGGUGUUCAUCACACUAUUAUUGUGACUUUUGCUAUUAAUUCUUAACCACAAGAACUUUACAAGUAGUUGUUUUCUUCUCAAAGGUUGACAAAGAACGUGCAAGUAGUUCUUACGUAGUUCACAUUCUUUUUUUUUUAGGAAUAACAUAAAAUCUCACAACUAUUUUUUCAAUUACCUUUUCCUAUAUCGGUAUGUAUCAUCUUCUAUUAUAAUUUUUUUGUAAAUUUGAUACUUUGAUCAAAUUAAAUAUCUUCACAUUAAAUAUAAUUAACUCGAUCAAAGAUUACAAUGAAUACACAACAUUGAUGUUUGUUUGCUAAUCAAAAUAAUUUUUUAUACAUUUGAAUUCUAUGUUUAAAAGAUGACUUCUUAAUAAAAAUCAAAAUAAUAAUGGAAUCAUGAGAUAAUAUUUUCUCAUAAUAAAAAUUAAUCAAAGUGUUAGUUUGAUGUAAAAGUUCUUAUAAUGACCCUUGAUCCAUAUGAAAGGUGUGUUAAUUCUCUACAUUAAGUUAUUACAAUACCAUAAUUAAAAUACCAUAAAUAAGUUUAUAUAUCUUUUCAAAUCAUGUGACCUAUAUGCAGUGUGACUAUAAACAUCCUUCAAAUAAUGAAAUUUUACAUUAACUUUAUCAAAAUAAGUAAUUUUAAAACUCUAAAUUUUAAAACAACUAAUUGAUUCCGUUCGGAUUCUUAGAUCGAUAAUAUGAAUCUAAAUCAUUAUUAUAAAUAGUUCAUCGUUAAUAAAAAGAAUGUUGAGAAGCAGAAUAAUAAAAUUGAAAAUUAUAGCAAAAGAGGAAAAAAAAUGUACUGCAAAUUAAUCAAAUGCAUUUUUUUGCUUAAAGGAUUGAAAUGUUCACCUCUUAUCAGGAUAAAGUCUUUGAAUGUUUUUUUCUUCACUUAUGAAAUUUCAAUCUCAAUCAAAUCAAUGAAGUACCAAGUAAUUUUAGGAAAAUAAUUUCUUAAUUACUUGAUACUACAUUGACUGAAUAAGAUAGAUCUUCAGACAAAAUCUAAGAAACAAAAGAAUUGUUAAACCUAUGAGAAAAAUCUAUGGAAAAGACUACAA
rnacentral:lncRNA from 1 species